rnacentral:sRNA from 1 species
GCCGGGAGUGGUGGCACACGCCUGUAAUCCCAGCGGCUCGGGAGGCUGAGACAGAAGGAUCACGAGUUCAAAGACAGCCUCACCAAAGUGAGGUGCUAAGCAACUCAGUGAGACCCUUUCUCUA